ACGAGAGUUACCAGGUUGUGGAUUUUACACUUUCUUUUGGCUCUGAUGAAGUUACGUUUAUAGUAUCUGCUCCUAAAAAGGCUUCUAAAUUAACAACAAUAUUUAUACCUUUUACAAGUACGGUUUGGCUGUUUGUUUUUGAAGCGAAAGACCAUGG